AACAAAUUCAGGAGGAGUAAAAUGCCCUAUUCAUAUGGGAGCUUACAGUCUAAAUAAUUGUGGUGCUGUGGACAGAGAUCAAAGUAGUGGGCACAAUUACUAUAGCUAACUGCGCUGUUUAUAUGGUAACAUUUAUGCAGGUAAUGGGCUGUUGUGUCAUGCUGUCUAAUGUGAGGCUGCAUGUUGAGGGACCAGGAGCGAAGGCUGUGUGUGUCUAUGAAUGUGUGCUAGUGGUUUCAUGUAUGUGUAUUAACUUGUGUCUCUUGUUGUUUGUUAGCAGGUGUCUAUGUAUAUAUGCUUGUGUUGGGUUAUAUGUUAGUGUGAUACAAAUUAUGUCGGGAUAUCUGGAAAGUAAUAUCGAUGUGUCUACUCCUGUGUGUCAAUGUAUGGGACACAAAAUUGCAUUGCCCAGAAACCUGCAAAUGGCAUUGAUGGC